AAUGCAAGGUGAAACCUGGAAGGUUGUCUCUGCCAAUCUUCUUUAUAUAUCUUUGUAUGGCUAAAUUCCCUUUUCCUAACUGCCAUGAGAAUGAUUCGGUUCUACGCUGUUCCCUGGACUACUGUGACUGUGAUCUGCAAAAGAGCUAGAGAGUUUGCAGAUAAUUAAAGCCAGAAUUCUGCCUGGUUGGGUAACCAUGAGUUUUUGUGCUUGCACAGUCUUCGUUUUCAAAAGCAUUGUCUGUUUUGUGCUGACAGUGAAGCCAUCUCAGAAGGUGAACCUGGGAAAAUUCAGGUAUUCUCUGAUUCUCUGGAAGGAAAAGGUGAGCAUUAGAGUGCAGCUUUCCACAACAAACCAUGGAGAAAAUGCUCAUUGCUGUUGAUCGUCAGACUGCAGAGAUACAUUGCAGACCCACAAGGCUGACUUUUUUUUCUAAAGCAAGCUUCACUGUUGUCAAACAAAGUCUUGAACUACAAAAGAUGAGUGUUUCACUUGUUGAGAUACUUCCAUUCAAAAUCAUCCUGGGUAUGAGAUGGUACACCUCCAUGUUACUUGUGUGCUCAGGCUGGCUUGCACAUAGACGAGGUUUUGACCAGAGUUAAUAAAAAGGCAGAGACUGGA